rnacentral:rRNA from 1 species
AUACGGAGGGUGCAAGCGUUACUCGGAAUCACUGGGCGUAAAGCGCGCGCAGGCGGCUAUUUAAGUUGGAUGUGAAAGCCUACGGCUCAACCGUAGAACUGCAUCCAAAACUAUUUAGCUAGAGUGUGGGAGAGGAAGAUGGAAUUAGUUGUGUAGGGGUAAAAUCCGUAGAGAUAACUAGGAAUACCAAAAGCGAAGGCAAUCUUCUGGAACACUACUGACGCUGAGGCGCGAAAGCGUGGGGAGCAAACAGAAUUAGAAACCCUAGUAGUCC